AGCAUGGAAUAAUGGAUAGGACGUGCGGUUCUAUUUUGUUGGUUUCUAGGAUCGCCGUAAUGAUUAAUAAGGAUAGUUGGGGGCAUUCGUAUUCAAUUGCUAGAGGUGAAAUUCUUGGAUUUAUUGAAGACGAACUACUGCGAAAGCAUUUGCCAAGGAUGUUUUCAUUGAUCAAGAACGAAGGUUAGGGGAUCGAAAACGAUCAGAUACCGUUGUAGUCUUAACAGUAAACGAUGCCGACUAGGGAUCGGACGAGGAUUUUUAAUGACUCGUUCGGCACCUGAAGAGAAAUCUUUAAGUCAUGGUUCGGGGGGGAGUAUGGUCGCAAGGCUGAAACUUAAAGGAAUUGACGGAAGGGCACCACCAUGGUGUGGAGCCUGCGGCUUAAUUUGACUCAACACGGGGAAACUCACCAGGUCCAGACACGACAAGGAUUGACAGAUUGAUAGCUCUUUCUUGAUUUCGUGGUUGGUGGUGCAUGGCCGUUCUUAGUUGGUGGAGUGAUUUGUCUGGUUAAUUCCGAUAACGAACGAGACCUUAACCUGCUAAAUAGCCCGGCCGACUUUGGUUGGUCGCUGGCUUCUUAGAGGGACUAUCGGCGUUUAGCCGAUGGAAGUUUGAGGCAAUAACAGGUCUGUGAUGCCCUUAGAUGUUCUGGGCCGCACGCGCGCUACACUGACCGAACCAGCGAGUUUAUCACCGUGGCCGGANGUCCUGGUAAUCNUNGANCUCGUNGC
rnacentral:rRNA from 1 species